GUGGGGAAUAUUGGGCAAUGGGCGAAAGCCUGACCCAGCAACGCCGCGUGAAGGAAGAAGGUUUUCGGAUCGUAAACUUCUAUCCUUGGUGAAGAUAAUGACGGUAGCCAAGAAGGAAGCCCCGGCUAACUACGUGCCAGCAGCCGCGGUAAUACGUAGGGGGCAAGCGUUGUCCGGAAUGAUUGGGCGUAAAGGGCGCGUAGGCGGCCCGGUGAGUCUGAAGUGAAAGUCCUGCUUUUAAGGUGGGAAUUGCUUUGGAUACUGUCGGGCUUGAGUGCAGGAGAGGUAAGCGGAAUUCCCGGUGUAGCGGUGAAAUGCGUAGAGAUCGGGAGGAACACCAGUGGCGAAGGCGGCUUACUGGACUGUAACUGACGCUGAGGCGCGAAAGUGUGGGGAGCAAACAGGAUUAGAAACCCUGGUAGUCC
rnacentral:rRNA from 1 species